rnacentral:rRNA from 1 species
UACGGGGGGGGCAAGCGUUGUUCGGAAUUACUGGGCGUAAAGGGUGUGUAGGUGGCGCGCUAAGUCGGGUGUGAAAUUUCGGAGCUUAACUCCGAAACUGCAUUCGAUACUGGCGUGCUUGAGGACUGGAGAGGAGACUGGAAUUUACGGUGUAGCAGUGAAAUGCGUAGAUAUCGUAAGGAAGACCAGUGGCGAAGGCGGGUCUCUGGACAGUUCCUGACACUGAGACACGAAGGCCAGGGGAGCAAACGGG